CGUGUGCUUACAAGUAGUCAGAGCCCGUUAAUGGGUGAUGGCGUGCCUUUUGUAGAAUGAACCGGCGAGUUACGAUUUGAUGCAAGGUUAAGCAGUAAAUGUGGAGCCGUAGCGAAAGCGAGUCUGAAUAGGGCGUUUAGUAUUUGGUCGUAGACCCGAAACCAGGUGAUCUACCCUUGGUCAGGUUGAAGUUCAGGUAACACUGAAUGGAGGACCGAACCGACUUACGUUGAAAAGUGAGCGGAUGAACUGAGGGUAGCGGAGAAAUUCCAAUCGAACCUGGAGAUAGCUGGUUCUCUCCGAAAUAGCUUUAGGGCUAGCCUCAAGUGAUGAUUAUUGGAGGUAGAGCACUGUUUGGACGAGGGGCCCCUCUCGGGUUACCGAAUUCAGACAAACUCCGAAUGCCAAUUAAUUUAACUUGGGAGUCAGAACAUGGGUGAUAAGGUCCGUGUUCGAAAGGGAAACAGCCCAGACCACCAGCUAAGGUCCCAAAAUAUAUGUUAAGUGGAAAAGGAUGUGGCGUUGCCCAGACAACUAGGAUGUUGGCUUAGAAGCAGCCAUCAUUUAAAGAGUGCGUAAUAGCUCACUAGUCGAGUGACACUGCGCCGAAAAUGUACCGGGGCUAAACAUAUUACCGAAGCUGUGGAUUGUCCUUUGGACAAUGGUAGGAGAGCGUUCUAAGGGCGUUGAAGCAUGAUCGUAAGGACAUGUGGAGCGCUUAGAAGUGAGAAUGCCGGUGUGAGUAGCGAAAGACGGGUGAGAAUCCCGUCCACCGAUUGACUAAGGUUUCCAGAGGAAGGCUCGUCCGCUCUGGGUU
rnacentral:rRNA from 1 species